rnacentral:lncRNA from 1 species
AAUUUGUUUUAAAAAAAUGAUAAUUAUAAAUAUUGCAUCUGCAGCUGGACGUCAACGUAAUGGGACAAAGCAUUUUCUUAUAACAUGUUUUAAGUAUGGUUGAUUUGUUCCCAUUUUUGGUUUUCUGAUCAUCCACCGGAUAAUUUGUUUCUGGUUGUAUUUCUGGUUUCAAGGUACAAUUUCUAUCAUCAUUGUUAUAAUUUUAUUUUCAUGAUUUUUCCUUUCUCGUUUUCUUUUCAUGUAUUAUUGUAAACACCUUACUUGAGCAGAAUUUAAGUAAGUUAAUAGCACAUGUGCAUACAUAUGAUUCAUUUUCCGGUUAACCUGAACAUUUUUUUCUAAUAUUUAGUAUCUAUACUAAUAUCCUUUUGGUAUAGCCAAUGUUUUUUAGUGCGCAGUGCGGUUUCAGUGAAAAUUUCGUGCCGCGAGUGCUUUCAGCUUUUGGCGUCGGGCAAUUGGAUAACUCUCCUCUGGAUCCCAUGUUGUGAGCUGCUUCUCGAUAGUGGAUGGAGAAAUGGAUUAACGAAAGCAACGAAUUAAGGUGGAAGGGUGGACUGAGGAGGCGUAGGCGGGGAGUCUCGAAAUGGUGUAGUUUGACGGAAUGGCCGCGGCGGCGGAACCCAGCCUCGCCCCGCUGCCGCUGCCUUUGCCGCCCCCGCUGCCUCGCCGCCACCACCACCCCCGCACCACUACCACCGCCACAACCACCCACAGAAUCACCACCAACACCAUCAGCACAACCACCACCACCAGAAUCGCAAUCAACGGAGAUCAACCACGCUUAGUCGCGUCCCCAACUCAAAGAAACUUGGGAAGGAGAGCCAUGUGA